rnacentral:rRNA from 1 species
CACGUAGGGGGCGAGCGUUGUCCGGAAUUAUUGGGCGUAAAGAGCUCGUAGGCGGUUUGUCGCGUCUGCUGUGAAAACCUAAGGCUCAACCUUGGGCUUGCAGUGGGUACGGGCAGACUAGAGUGCGGUAGGGGUGACUGGAAUUCCUGGUGUAGCGGUGGAAUGCGCAGAUAUCAGGAGGAACACCGAUGGCGAAGGCAGGUCACUGGGCCGCAACUGACGCUGAGGAGCGAAAGCAUGGGGAGCGAACAGG